ACACGACUACAUUAGAUACCCGUGUAGUCCAGGGUGUAAACGCUGCAGACUUGGUGUUGGGAACCCUUCGGGGGGUGCUCAAUGCCGGAGAGAAGUUGUUAAGUCUGCUACUUGGGGAGUACGUCCGCAAGGAUGAAACUUAAAGGAAUUGGCGGGGGAGCACCGCAACGGGAGGAGCGUGCGGUUUAAUUGGAUUCAACGCCGAAAACUCACCAGCAGCGACUGUUACAUGAAAGUCAGGUUGAUGACCUUACUAGAUUUUCAG
rnacentral:rRNA from 1 species